CUACGGGUGGCACCAGUGGGGAAUAUUGGACAAUGGGGGAAACCCUGAUCCAGCAAUGCCGCGUGUGUGAAGAAGGCCUGCGGGUUGUAAAGCACUUUCGGUUGGGAGGACUGCUUCUAGCACUAAUAUUGUUGGAAGUUGACGUUACCUUCAGAAGAAGCACCGGCUAACUCCGUGCCAGCAGCCGCGGUAAUACGGAGGGUGCAAGCGUUAAUCGGAAUUACUGGGCGUAAAGCGCGCGUAGGCGGCUAGAUCAGUCGGGUGUGAAAGCCCCGGGCUUAACCUGGGAACUGCAUCCGAUACUGUCUAGCUUGAGGACAGGAGAGGAGAGUGGAAUUCCACAUGUAGCGGUGAUAUGCGUAGAUAUGUGGAGGAACACCAAUGGCGAAGGCAGCUCUCUGGCCUGAUACUGACGCUGAGGUGCGAAAGCGUGGGAAGCAAACAGGAUUAGAUACCCUGGUAGUC
rnacentral:rRNA from 1 species